rnacentral:rRNA from 1 species
UGGGGAAUAUUGGACAAUGGGCGCAAGCCUGAUCCAGCCAUGCCUCGUGAGUGAUGAAGGCCCUAGGGUUGUAAAGCUCUUUCACCGGUGAAGAUAAUGACGGUAACCGGAGAAGAAGCCCCGGCUAACUUCGUGCCAGCAGCCGCGGUAAUACGAAGGGGGCUAGCGUUGUUCGGAUUUACUGGGCGUAAAGCGCACGUAGGCGGACUUUUAAGUCAGGGGUGAAAUCCCGGGGCUCAACCCCGGAACUGCCUUUGAUACUGGAAGUCUUGAGUAUGGUAGAGGUGAGUGGAAGUCCGAGUGUAGAGGUGAAAUUCGUAGAUAUUCGGAGGAACACCAGUGGCGAAGGCGGCUCACUGGACCAUUACUGACGCUGAGGUGCGAAAGCGUGGGGAGCAAACAGG